rnacentral:rRNA from 1 species
UGGCGAACGGGUGAGUAACACGUAAGCAACCUACCCUAAAGACGAGGAUAACCAUUGGAAACAGUGGCUAAGACUGGAUAGGAAGAUAAAAGGCAUCUUUUAUCUUUUAAAAGACCUAGUAAUAGGUAUGCUUUAGGAGGGGCUUGCGCCAUAUUAGUUAGUUGGUAGGGUAAUGGCCUACCAAGACGAUGAUGUGUAGCUGGACUGAGAGGUUGAACAGCCACAUUGGGACUGAGACACGGCCCAAACUCCUACGGGAGGCAGCAGUAGGGAAUUUUCGGCAAUGGAGGAAACUCUGACCGAGCAACGCCGCGUGAAUGACGAAGUACUUCGGUAUGUAAAGUUCUUUUAUCAAGGAAGAAAAGCAAAUGGCGAACCAUUUGUUUGCCGGUACUUGAUGAAUAAGCCCCGGCUAAUUAUGUGCCAGCAGCCGCGGUAAGACAUAAGGGGCAAGUGUUAUCCGGAAUUAUUGGGCGUAAAGGGUGCGUAGGCGGUCUAGUAAGUCAGUGGUGUAAUGGCAACGCUUAACGUUGUCCGGCUAUUGAAACUGCUAAACUUGAGUUAGAUAGAGGCGAGUGGAAUUCCAUGUGUAGCGGUAAAAUGCGUAAAUAUAUGGAGGAACACCAGAGGCGUAGGCGGCUCGCUGGGUCUUAACUGACGCUGAGGCACGAAAGCGUGGGGAGCAAACAGGAUUAGAUACCCUGGUAGUCCACGCCGUAAACGAUGAGUACUAAGUGUCGGGUUAAACCGGUACUGAAGUUAACACAUUAAGUACUCCGCCUGAGUAGUACGUACGCAAGUAUGAAACUUAAAGGAAUUGACGGGACUCCGCACAAGCGGUGGAUCAUGUUGUUUAAUUCGAAGAUACCCGAAAAACCUUACCAGGUCUUGACAUGUUUUUGCAAAAUGAUAGUAAUAUCGUGGAGGUUACCAGAAACACAGGUGGUGCAUGGUUGUCGUCAGCUCGUGUCGUGAGAUGUUAGGUUAAGUCCUAAAACGAGCGAAACCCUUAUCGUUAGUUGCCAGCACGUUAUGGUGGGGACUUUAACGAGCCUGCCAAUGAUAAAUUGGAGGAAGGUGAGGAUCACGUCAAAUCAGCAUGCCCCUUAUGACCUCGGCUACAAACGUGAUACAAUCGCCGUUACAAAGGGUAGGUGAAACGCAAGUUUUUGGCCAAUCCCCAAAAACAGUCCCAGUCCGGAUUGAAGUUUGCAACUCGACUUCAUGAAGUUGGAAUCGCUAGUAAUCGCGAAUCAGCAUGUCGCGGUGAAUACGUUCUCGGGG